rnacentral:rRNA from 1 species
GAUGAACGCUGGCGGCGUGCCUAAUACAUGCAAGUCGAGCGAACGGACGAGAAGCUUGCUUCUCUGAUGUUAGCGGCGGACGGGUGAGUAACACGUGGAUAACCUACCUAUAAGACUGGGAUAACUUCGGGAAACCGGAGCUAAUACCGGAUGAUAUUUUGAACCGCAUGGUUCAAAAGUGAAAGACGGUCUUGCUGUCACUUAUAGAUGGAUCCGCGCUGCAUUAGCUAGUUUGUAAGGUAACGGCUUACCAAGGCAACGAUGCAUAGCCGACCUGAGAGGGUGAUCGGCCACACUGGAACUGAGACACGGUCCAGACUCCUACGAGAGGCAGAAGAAGGGAAUCUUCCGCAAUGGGCGAAAGCCUGACGGAGCAACGCCGCGUGAGUGAUGAAGGUCUUCGGAUCGUAAAACUCUGUUAUUAGGGAAGAACAUAUGUGUAAGUAACUGUGCACAUCUUGACGGUACCUAAUCAGAAAGCCACGGCUAAAUACGUG